rnacentral:lncRNA from 1 species
GAGAACCUUAAUGCUAGAAUAAAGGGUUGGUUCUUUGCAGAGAAAAGUGGGACAUGCAUAAUUUAGUACUUCCUCUGCUUUAUAAUAUAAGGUAGAGCUUGAUCCGCACAACUAUGCGGGUGUUUAUUUUAAUUUUUAGGUAUAUAUAUUAGUAUAUAAUUGAUAAAAUAAAUUAUUGAAUAUCAAAUAUAAUUUUGUUUUUUGUUUUUAAUAUGUUAGAAUUGAAAGUAUAUUAUUAGAGAAUAAGUUUUAUGUAAUGUAAUUCAAAC